rnacentral:lncRNA from 1 species
AUGUCUUCCCCACUGCAGAGAGCUGUACCAAGAGGGCCUUGUCUGCAUCUUCUAGUUCCUCUGCCAGUCUACCCUUCGAUGACAGGGACUCAAACCAUCCCUCAGAGGGAAUACUGACUCUUUAUUAGCUGAUGAAGGCAGUGACUUUGAAGAUAGCUUCAAUCGCAAUGUGAAGAAGAAAGCAGCAAAACGACCACCGAAAACAACACCGGUGGCAAACAACGAAAGAAAGGGUCCCGAGUGGUACAUCGUCAUAGCCGGAAACAGUCAGAGCCACCAGCCAAUGAUCUUUUCAAUGCUGUGAAAGCUGCCAAAAGUGACAUG